CCUACGGGAGGCUGCAGUGAGGAAUAUUGGUCAAUGGGCGAGAGCCUGAACCAGCCAAGUAGCGUGAAGGAUGACCGCCCUACGGGUUGUAAACUUCUUUUAUAAAGGAAUAAAGUGAGGCACGUGUGCCUUUUUGGAUGUACUUUAUGAAUAAGGACCGGCUAAUUCCGUGCCAGCAGCCGCGGUAAUCCGGAGGAUCCGAGCGUUACCCGGGUUUAUUUGGUUUAAAGGGACCGUAGCUGGGUUGUUAAGUAAGGUGUGAAAUUUUGCGGCUCAACCGUCAAAUUGCAAUUGAUACUGGGGUUCUAGAGUACAGGUGAGGUAUGCGGAAUUCGUGGUGUAGCGGUGAAAUGCUUAGAUAUCACGAAGAACUCCGAUUGCGAAGGCAGCUUACUGGACUGCAACUGACGUUGAUGCUCGAAAGUGUGGGUAUCGAACAGGAUUAGAUACCCUGGUAGUC
rnacentral:rRNA from 1 species